rnacentral:rRNA from 1 species
AUGAGGCCAUCUACCGCUGCUCACAUUCUCACGGCCGCCGUCCUCUUGCUCGGCGGCGUGGGCGCGACAACGGAGACGACGUGCAGGGCGGCCGCGGGCGCCGACAGGCGCGUGGACUACCACUUCUGCGUGUCCAGGCUGAGCCAGCACCACGACAGCCUCGACGCGGACACGUGGGGCCUGGCCAAGGUGGCCGCCGACGUAGGCGUCCUCCUCGCCGGCAACGGCGUCUACGACAUCAAGCACAUGCUCGCCAAGAAAGCGGCUGGGGGCAAGGUUCGUGCGCCGCUGGAGCGGUGCGAGGCGCUCUACGGCAGGAUGGGGUCCGCGUUCGCAGAGGCCUACGACGGGAUCGACAGGCGCGACUACGCGGCGGGGAAAGACAAGGCACGCGAGGCCGCGCCUCUCAUGCGCCGGUGCGGCGAGGCCUUUGCCCGGGCCGGCGUCGUCCCGUCGCCGCUGGCGAGGCAGAGCGCGGACGCGGUGCAGAUGGCCAUCCUCUGCACAGCCAUCACCGGCCUCAUCAAGUGA